CACGUAGUUAGCCGGUGCUUUUCUGCAGGUACCGUCACUUUCGCUUCUUCCCUACUAAAAGAGGUUUACAACCCGAAGGCCGUCAUCCCUCACGCGGCGUUGCUGCAUCAGGCUUUCGCCCAUUGUGCAAUAUUCCCCACUGCUGCCUCCCGUAGGAGUCUGGGCCGUGUCUCAGUCCCAGUGUGGCCGGUCACCCUCUCAGGCCGGCUACCCGUCGUCGCCUUGGUGAGCCAUUACCUCACCAACAAGCUGAUAGGCCGCGAGUCCAUCCCCAACCAAAAAUCUUUCCACCACCAGACCAUGCGGCCAGUGAUCAUAUCCAGUAUUAGACGUCGUUUCCAACGCUUAUCCCAGAGUCAGGGGCAGGUUACUCACGUGUUACUCACCCGUUCGCCACUAAUCCACCCAGCAAGCUGGGCAUCAUCGUUCGACUUGCAUGUGUUAAGCACGCCGCCAGCGUUCGUCCUGAGCCAGGAUCAAACUCU
rnacentral:rRNA from 1 species